rnacentral:rRNA from 1 species
UUGAUCCUGCCGGACCUGACUGCUAUCGGAUUGAUACUAAGCCAUGUGAGUCGUUGUAGCAAUACAAGGCGUACGGCUCAGUAACACGUAGUCAAUCUAACCUAUGGACGGGGAUAACCUCGGGAAACUGAGGAUAAAACCCGAUAGAUCAUAAUUCCUGGAACGGUUUAUGGUCCAAAUGAUUCGUUGCCGUAGGAUGGGACUGCGGCCUAUCAGCUUGUUGGUGAGGUAAUGGCCCACCAAGGCUAUUACAGGUACGGGCUCUGAGAGGAGAAGCCCGGAGAUGGGUACUGAGACACGGACCCAGGCCCUAUGGGGCGCAGCAGGCGAGAAAACUUUGCAAUGUGCGCAAGCACGACAAGGUUAAUCCGAGUGUUUCCUGCUUAAGGAAUCUUUUGUUAGUUGUAAAACCACUAUCGAAUAAGGGGUGGGCAAGUUCUGGUGUCAGCCGCCGCGGUAAAACCAGCACCUCAAGUGGUCAGGAGGAUUAUUGGGCCUAAAGCAUCCGUAGCCUGUUCUAUAAGUUUCCGGUUAAAUCCAUUAGCUCAACUAAUGGGCCGCCGAAAAUACUGUAGAACUAGGGAGUGGGAGAGGUAGACGGUAUUCGGUAGGAAGGGGUAAAAUCCUUUGAUCUAUUGAGGACCACCUGUGGCGAANGCGGUCUACCAGAACACGUUCGACGGUGAGGGAUGAAAGCU